rnacentral:lncRNA from 10 species
CCGAAACCAGGGGGCGGGAAAGUACCCUCCACCCACAAGGAAACCAUGGCAAGCGGUGGUUGCAGUGGUAUCUGUCUCUGUGAAGACUCCACCACGGGUCGCCAUCAGGUCAGAGACCCUGACAAGACGCAAAAACCAAGGCCAAACAGCUGAGUUUUCUGCCCUGGAGGAGGAAAGUGGUCUCUGAAAGCCAGAAGACUCUCACAUUACAUAAUUCCUGCCAGCUGCUGUCAAGAGCUGCUAAGCUGUCCUCAAGUCCUGUGUCUGAUGUCAAGCUAAUAACAGAUUUAGGGUGCAUUAGUAAAGGUAUCUUAAUCAAGUCUAGAUGCCUUCGAGAUUAGACUCAGCCAUGAUGAGCAGCUAAGGAUUAGCAAGAAAGAUUACAAAUUGUUUCCAGGAAUUUAUUUCUUUCAACACUGAUUAUAUGUAUAGUCUUAAGUCAAAUUAAAAUGUUGUUUAUGUUCAGCUGUUUUUGUGAGUUAUCACAGUUUUGUCAAUUGAAA